rnacentral:rRNA from 1 species
UGAAACUGCGAAUGGCUCAUUAAAUCAGUUAUAGUUUAUUUGAUAGUACAAUUACUACCUGGAUAACCGUGGUAAUUCUAGAGCUAAUACAUGCUAAAAGUCUCGACUUCUGAAAGGGACGUAUUUAUUAGAUAAAAACCAAUAA